GACGUUCUAGUGUGUUAGUUUGGAAGAGGCUUUAUGAAGUAGAACAUGAGUUAUGGUUAUGAAGGAGAGGUGUGAUAAGAAGAGUAUCAUGUGUUUGGUGAGUUGAAGGGAAGAAGAUCAAAUUUCUUCGCUAUGCAAAAUUCAAAAAAUUAUACGUUUCGUGUAUUAUUUUUUUUAUUUUUAGGUUUAGUUUUAAAUUUUCU
rnacentral:lncRNA from 1 species